CUAUAUGAAAUAAGAUAAACAUAUAAGAAGAUACCCCAACACCUGAAUAAACAACGCAUAAUUCGUCCAUACCGAAAUCAACAGGAAGUCCCAUGCAACCCAAAAGUCUGGAAUGCAAUAGAACGUAGCUGACCAAAACGUUAUCAGCUUGUUCCCACACUCCACACUAUGACUAAUUCAGAAUCAGUCCCACACUCCACUUGAAGGGAGAACUCUUGUAAACAAGUGAGUUCUCAAGAUGAAAGCUGGCACCAAUCACCAGCUGCGGCUGCCUGUUUCAUCCAAGCCGACGCUUAGGCCAACACAUCGCUUAUCAGCCGCUCUCACCAAAGCAUCGCCUCUCGCAACCGAAGCUUCGUCUCCCUCAGCCGAAGCCAUC
rnacentral:lncRNA from 1 species